UCUCCGUAGGUGAACCUGCGGAGGGAUCAUUACAGAGAAUAAGGUUGAUCCAGCAAUGGUGAAAACCUGACCCUCCAACCCUUAUGUUAUUAAAAUCCACGUUGCCUCGCAUCGCUUUGGCGGUGCGACGGACACAAAUUAUACACUGUUUUAUCUACCAGUCUGAAUACAAAACACAAAUAUAUUAAAACUUUCAACAACGGAUCUCUUGGCUCUGACAUCGAUGAAGAACGCAGC
rnacentral:misc_RNA from 1 species